UGCCAUUUCUAAACAAACAAA
rnacentral:piRNA from 1 species